CCGCCGGCUCUAAAGCGAAACGCACCGCCUCCAAAAUAAUGUCGCCACCGGCGCGCGUACGCUAACGAUCUCUGAUUGGCUGCGCAAUAUAUGUAUAAAUAUUGGGAUGCUCAUUGGUCUAAAAAACUGGCGUCAGUUUCCUUUGCGCUGAUUGGGCGAGAGUCAUUUGACUGAGGAGCGAGCAUCCGAACGCGCGAACCGCUCAACGGAAGCAGUCGAACGGAGGAGAAUCACGUCUGUUCGGCCACGCGUGUUCUCUCGGACUGCAACCGUUGUGCACGCAGACGCUAGGGGGUAGUUUGAGGGUUUUGAAUGCUUUAGAUUUAGAUUGUGGCGAACUGCUAAUGUGAGAACGGAAUGGCACAUCCACCUCAUCAUCACAACAGCGGGAAGACGAACAUGUGAUGGAAUCCCUGCACCUCCAAAGGACGCAGAAAUCGUCAGAGAGGAAGUCUGCACUCUUUCCGACGUACUGCAGGUGAACGUUCUACCGCAGCCAUCGGCAACAACGACGCACAUAGCCCAGCAUUGGCUUUUGAACUGCCCUUCGAUGUCGAAGCACCUAAAGCUCCAGUGAAGCCUGUUACAAGACGUAAAAAGAUAUGUACUGUAGCUUUUUCGAGGCAGUUUCCGAGGACAAAUAAAGUUGAUUUGUCAUACAUCA